UUAGUGGCCGAGUGUGGCUGCUGGGUCAUGGCGUGAGUUGCAUGGCAGAAGUGCCUAAACUUUUUGUAUAUAUAGUGCUUUGAGUAAUGAAAAAAGAAGGCCGUGAGGGCUGAUGCAAAGAUGUAGCCACGGUGUGCCAUCAAGGGAGUGCCUUUGGCAAAGCAAUUGCAUUUCUCUUGGUGCUGGUGUGUGUGUGUUUCUUUCUCGGUUUCUUCCAGCGUGUGUGUUCUUGAGAGAAACAAGAGGAAGAGAGAGUCAUGUGAGGUAGAAGAAGAAGCGGCGCCAACAAGUACGAGCCCCAUCCUAUUCUUUAUUACAGUAUCUUUCAAGAAUCAAGACUACAAGGAAAACCCAGUUUCUUUCAGGGGUCAAGACUGCCAAGGACAACCCAGCUGAUUAGUAAUAAAUAAUUGUGUUUCAGUUCCUUUAAAAAAAUGUAGUUGUGUUUCAGUUCUGUAAGUAUAAAGUGCAUGCUUCAUAUUGUCAAUAAACUCAUCAAAUUAAAAAGAUGCAUGAUGUAUA